UACCAGCACCCCGAGUGGUCGGGACGUUUAUUGGGCCUAAAGCAUCCGUAGCCGGUUCUACAAGUCUUCCGUUAAAUCCACCUGCUCAACAGAUGGGCUGCGGAAGAUACUAUAGAGCUAGGAGGCGGGAGAGGCAAGCGGUACUCGAUGGGUAGGGGUAAAAUCCGUUGAUCCAUUGAAGACCACCAGUGGCGAAGGCGGCUUGCCAGAACGCGCUCGACGGUGAGGGAUGAAAGCUGGGGGAGCAAACCGGAUUAGAUACCCGGGUAGUCCCAGCUGUAAACGAUGCAGACUCGGUGAUGAGUUGGCUUAUUGCUAACUCAGUGCCGCAGGGAAGCCGUUAAGUUCGCCGCCGUGGGGAGUACGGUCGCAAGACUAGAAACUUAAAGGAAUUGGCGGGGGAGCACCACGAAGGGGUGAAGCCUGCGGUUC
rnacentral:rRNA from 1 species